UAAAAAUAAGAUAUAAUUUCAACGCAAAUAUAUUUAACCAAAUUGGUGGUGACAAUAAAUCCUUACAUUUAAUAACUUGUUCCUUAAUUUUAAAAAUUCAACAUGAUCUGAAAAUGCGAACUUAUAGUUGUAUAUAUAAUGUGUGUUUCUAUCAAACAAAUGUUAUCUUCCUAUUUCUGUAUGUAUCAUUUGUGUUCUUAUCAAACAAAGUAUUGUCUUCUUCGUGUUGUCUAUAUCAUCUUUGUUCCUAUCACACAAAUAUUGUCUUCCUCUUACUCUAUAUCAAACAAAUGUUGUCUUCCUCUAGCUGUGUAAAUCAUCUCUAUUCCUAUCACACGUGAAUUCAUUU
rnacentral:lncRNA from 1 species